rnacentral:lncRNA from 1 species
CGUGUCGAGUUAUCGGGUCGUGUCAGGAAUUGCCAGGCCUAUUCAACACAAUCCACAGGACACAUACACAAAUUUUUCUUAAUUACAAAUCACCUAAUCAAAUUAAUAACAUAAUUGAAAUAUUCCUGAAUUAUUAUUAAUUGCUCCUUGACGUGGAGAGAGCUUCCUUGCGUCGGCCAAUGUGUCAUUUGGUAGUGAAUUGCUUGAAGGCAUGGCACAUGACGGCAUCAUCAUCUUCUUAAACAAAGUUACUCAUAUUCUCUGGCGGUCGGGUACUAAUAAUUUUCGAAGAACCAUUUAGUUAAGCUUAUAUCCUAACAAUUAGUUGCAAUUAAAACAAAAGAAUAAUUGGAUUGAGUUGUGCAUGUGUUGCACCACACGUGACUGUAAGACACCUCAUUAGGACUCGUGCAUGCAUGUGCAGUCCACGCUCUUAAUUAGUUCCCAGUUUGUUUCAAGUUUACAAUAAAUUUGUUCAUAAUCACAUUCUUCUAAUCGUUUCUUUUACGCAUCAUCACUUAUUCAUUUGUAUUUUUUGGCAAUAAGGGAUGAAAAUUUUGCGCUAUAAGAAUUUGAGAUUGAACUCGUCAUCUAUGAGAUUCGAACUUAACCAUUUUUAUAAGUUAAGAAGAAUAUUAUUAGAUCGUAGCACUAAGUAACCAGUUACUUCAAAUUUAUUACUCGACGUUACUGUUUGAGUCUGGAAUUCACAUUUCAGCCAAAUCCUAAUGUUUGGGGUCUAAAAUUCAGAUUUUGGCAGAAUUAAUUUUUGGGCAAAGUUGAUUAAUGUCAGCCCAGAAAGGAGGUUAUGAGUCUCGGCCCAAUGGUGCAGUGCUAAUGGAGUAGCUGAGUUCUAUACAAAUUAGGAUGUCUAGGGAUCAUGAUUGAUUGGACGAGGGUUUGAACUCAUCAAGAUGGUUUUGGAUGGGAUAUGGAUCAUUGUUCUAAAAAUUCCCACAUUUCGCCUGGCCACCGCUCCAAUUAGUCCCUAUAUGUUUGAAAAUUAAGAAAGUGCGCCUAAACUCCGCUUAGGCGUCCACCUAACUUGCCUAGGUGCCCACCUAAACAUGCCUAGGUUGUGACUCUGAAAUAGAUAGAAAAUAUAAAACUUUCACUUGCAUUUUAAUUUUUCAACAAAAUGUAAGAGACUUAAUGAAUAAUUGGACGAACAAUCAUUAUAUGCUUGUUCCCUAUGUGUCUAAUACUUUAUAAUUUAUAUGUCAAUUUAUUUUGCAAUUUAUGUAUCCUAAUAUAAUUAUGUGUGUUUUUUAUUAUAAAUAGGCACUUAUUUAUACAAUAUAUAAUAACUUUACUUAAAUCCGCCUACUCCAUCUAGGCCCCCGCCUAGGCGUUAGGCCCUAGCCUGCCGCCCGACUAGCGCCUAGUGUAUUUUAGAAUCUUGAUAUGGAUUUUCCCUUGAGCAAGUCUAGGGUUAGAGUCUUAGUUCAAGUCGACAAGGGAGACUUAGUGGUGAUAAAGCUUCAGUGAAAGAGAAUUCUAAGUAUAAUAAGAAUAUGCCAAGGAGUUGCAAUGUUAUUAGGACUCUGCAACUCGACAAACUUGGGCAUUAAGGGAAUUUGUUCCUAUAAACACAAGGGAGUUUACAAUAUAGAAGAGAUCUUCAACACAACACACAAAUCAACCCUUGAGAAAAAUACUAACUGCUUUACGAACAAGUCAACACAAAUUCAGUUUGGUUAAACAGGUUUGGAGUUAGUAGCCAAUGGACUAUUACAGUGUGGUUAAACAAAAUUUUCUAGAGGCAACCGGCGAAGGUUACAGUUUGGUUAAAGAACAUUAGAGUCGUAAAAUUAGCUUGGUUUAGGAGUCUUGACAGUUUGGUUUAAUAGCAAGUUCUCCUCUUUCGACUGGUUAUCUAUCCUAAGCAUCUUCCAAAAAAGAGUCUUUGGUUCUUUCGUCGAAUGAGAUCACUUCUUUAACUUUCUUGGCAAAACAGAGUGUUCUAUGAUCGGAUAUUCCCAAGUGACAUCCAAUGUUAGGCAUAUCAACUGCCGAACAACUUUUAUCAUAAAGACACUCAUCUUAUCUUUGCCUCUAUAGUUUGAUUCCAAUUCGGACCUACAUUCUCACUAAUAUAGUUGAAGUUGUUGAACCUGAUGCAAAAAACCUAGAAUUUCGUAGCGAGUUACAUAACCUAGUCUUCAGGUUUUAAAAGCUAAGGCCGAGAUUAUUGUUUCCUCAGCCAAAAUCGCCUAAUUCAGAAAUCACCCAUCACAUCACACCAGCACACUCAGAAGUAUCCACUCGGGCGAGUUCUGUAGCGAAUUGGCAUGCCUGCUUCAGUUUUCACGAACACAAAAGGACGUAGUUAAUUACUCUUUGUACUUCGCCUACGCGCCACGUAGGCUGUGUAGUUUUUAGAAUCAACAGUUAUGUAAUUAGUUUGAAACUUAUUAACUUAACAUCUCUGUUUCAUGGUUUUCUUGUUUUACUUCUCAGUAGUGGUUUUCUCAUUUUUUGCAAUGCUUUCUUGUACUCUUAUUAGUUGCUUUAUAUAAUAUAUCUUUUAUUGUUUCAUGAAACUGCCUUUUGACGUAAAAGUAAGGGUUUCUCUUCUUAGUAGUGUAUAUUAGUGGAUCAUUGCAUGGAAGUAAGGGUGCAAUUUCGGUUGGGUCAACGCGAAUCCGCCUAUGUCCAACUCAACUUCAAACCAAAUAAACCCAACUAAAGCCUGAGUCUGCAUAACCUAAACCCGAAUUGAGAAUGAUAGGUUAACGUUCUCACUUGCCUAGUUGCACCCUACAUGAAAGCCAUUUUGACAUUUAUAAUACCAAAUCACAUAUUAAGUUGUUUGUAAAAAAUUCUACGUGCGUCUUAAAAUAAACGUAUUUCAAGGCACUCUUUGCAACUCGUAUGCUGAAGGGCUUCACCACCAACAUGUGCCUUUGGAGAUUGAGAUCCCUACUGAGUGUAGGGGUGGGUUCAAAAAAAUAAAAAACCAAAAGAAAAAAAAAAGACCGAACACCGAAAGGAAACCGUACCAAAUUAUCAAAAACCGAACCAAACCAAAAUUGGUUAGUUUGGUUUCAGUUUCAAUGAUUUAACAAUCGAACGAACCAAUACAUUUAAUUAUUUUAUAUAAUAUUCAAAUUAAUUAUUUUUUAUAUAUUUAAUUAUUCUCUAUGUCCUCACUUUCUCUCUCUACCUUUGAAGAGCUCUUUUUUUUUCUUUCUUUCAUUUGUUUGUUAUGUUGUUUUCUAUGUAGUAAAAUGUCCUCAUAUUUUUUUUGGUCCAACAUUAAGUCCUUAUAUUACCAACAUUAAAAUCCUCAUCAGUGGCCUUCUCUCUAAUAAAAUCCUCACGCUGUGAAAGCAAGGACAGAGCUAGUGUAGGCCUAGGGGGCAGAUGCCCCCACUCAUUUAAAAAAAAACUGUAUGGUUGCGUUCCAAUUCUCAAUAACCAGCCCUAACUAAACUAGUCUACCAUUUUGGAUCCCAAAUGCCCUACCAGAUGACAAUUUAAUUAACAAUUAAUUUAAUUGUGCCUCUCCGUUUUUCUAACCCUAGGUCGUUAAUCCACACAAAACUCAUCCCACCACGUAUGGCAAAACAAUUCCAGUCCUCAACUUCUCUAGAUUUUUCCUCCCCUUUCAUUCAACGAAAACUCAAUUGAAUUUGGAGUGUUAUAGACAGUUGGAGUUCAAGUAAUCAAUUAUCAAAAUUCAACAUAAGAAUUUUACUCCCUAAGGUAUUUUAUAUGACUUUACUUCAUUAAUUUGUUUUUGGCAUUUCAAUUUAGAAUUUAGCUUUCUAAUUUAGAGAUCAAUGGAUGAACGAUAACAUGAUUAUUUUUAGGGUAAAUUACAUAAAACUACCUCAACUAUUGGGUCAUUAACAGUUUUAUACCUCAUCUUUAAAAAGUUUCAAUGUCUUACCUUAUCUUCGAAUUUGUUGCAAUGUCAUACCUUCCAUCAGUUGUCUGUCAAUUUCUCUGUUGCAAUGUCAUACCUUAUUUUCAUCUUCCCGUCCCGUUCCUCCCCUCUCAAAAACCUUCCUUUCAAACCCAGAACCCCACCCCCACCUCCUGAGCAACCAUGAUCUGGAGAUCGCAACAAUGCCGUGGAGAUGGACACUCUGGCAAAGUCCUCUUCUUCUCCAGCCAUCGGAUUUCCGCGCUGGCAAUUGUUUAUGAAAUGUUUUCUCUUUUUGGGCUCUUCCAAUUAUGAAGUUCGAAGGCUAUGGAGGAGAGAAAGAGAAGUGAUGAGCGGGUUGACCAGGCAUGGAAGAGAGAGAGGUGCUGGAGUCGGGUCUGCAGUGGCAGUGGACAUGUGGUGACUGAAGGUAUUAAAGAUGUUGAGAGGGCUGGCGGAAAGGUUUAUAAUCAGCUUU